rnacentral:rRNA from 1 species
AACGAACGCUGGCGGCGUGGCUAAGGCAUGCAAGUCGAGCGGACGUGUUCCAAGGGUAACUGCGGGACACGUUAGCGGCGAACGGGUGAGGAAUUCAUGGAUAACGUACCUCGGACACAGGGAUAGCGGCGGGGGAACCCUUCGCGAAAGUGCCGGUAAUACCUGAUGACCCCGCCGGGAUCGCAUGAUCGUGCGGGCGAAAGGUCCGCCGGUCCGAGAUCGGUCCAUGACCUAUCAGCUAGUUGGUGAGGUAACGGCCCACCAAGGCUUU